rnacentral:rRNA from 1 species
UACGAAGGGGGCUAGCGUUGCUCGGAAUCACUGGGCGUAAAGGGUGUGUAUGCGGUUCUUUAAGUUUGGUGUGAAAUCUCCCGGCUCAACUGGGAGGGUGCGCCGAAUACUGAGGGACUAGAGUACGGGAGAGGAAAGUGGAAUUCCUGGUGUAGCGGUGAAAUGCGUAGAUAUCAGGAGGAACACCGGUGGUGUAGACGGCUUUCUGGACCGUAACUGACGCUGAGACACGAAAGCGUGGGUAGCAAACAGG